UUGAAUUUAUUUCUUGAAGUGAGAAAUGCUUUGUAGUAUAUAAUAAACAAGUGAUUGGUAUUGAUGUUUUAGAUUAUUACUGCUUCUCAAGAAACCGCGAAUUUUCGCAUUUCCAACCGUCGACUCCGAGACAGUCGAUGAUUAGCUGUAAUCAAGAAAUUGCAAAAGCGACAGUUCACAGGCACAAUUGCAAAUACUGAAAUGAUUUGUAUUUUCUUCAGUUCGGAAAUGCAAAGAGAUAACAAAUUUCUGUAUGUCCCCUUUAAAAAUGUGUUUAACAGAGAUAUUUAUUUUUGGCAUCAAACAAACCAGUGUAUUAAUGACAUAUUGCACAUUUCCUAAACCCGAGGCAAGACUGUUUGUAAGCUCCACUAAUAUUUUAAGUUUUAAAAUAAAGUACUUUACUUAGUCACUCAUUUGUUGUUUAUAUAAAAAAUGGAACAUGCUCGAUUGAUUCUUCUCUUUUAAAAAAUAAUACUAAAUCGGUACAUGUACUGUGAUUUGAAAUGCCAAUAAGAAAGUGCACUCCAUAUGAGCAACUGAAUUAGCAGUCAUUCGGUUUUUUUUUUAUUUACUUUUAUUUUUUGUUGUGAUAAGCAAGUCUUUUUUUAACUGUUAAAGAAUUUGAAGUAUUUCAAUUGAGGCCACCAACCACCUUAACUGUAGUUUUUUAACAGAUUAGUAUUGAAUGUAUCAAUAAAUAAAGUAGAUCUAAAAAUUGAAGCGGACACAAUAUUUCGGUCAUUUGCCUUACCAUUCACUGCUGAUACAUGUACAAGUCGCAUUGUUCACAUCCAAUGACGUCAUAAUUAGUUGCUAUUUUUUCUAAUAUGAAGAAAUGUGUAAAAAUACAAUUGACUACAAUUCAGUAUGAACAUAAUAUGUAAUAUGACUGCUAAUGAGACAAAUAUGCACUGGGAGUCCAAAUUUCUUUGAUAUAAGCAACUAUGGAUCACUAUACGGCCUUCAACAAUGACCAAAACUCAUCAAGGUAGACCGUAUGAUCAAUGAAUAUUACUGUGCAUGAUAGUAUCACCAGCUCAUUAGUCAGCACUUUUUUAUUGCCACGAAUAUAAUUGAUAUGUUGAUAUGCUGUAUACUUACUGCUUAUAAAAUGUUUAGAUAUUUGAAACACUCAGGUUUUUCUUACCCCAGGAAUAGACUGCCCUAUCUUUAUAUCAGAUUAAUCAAUUGUUUUGAUUUUAGAUCAGUUUCAAAGUCUUAUGAAGACUAAACACGCGUCUGGCGAACUAAAUUAUAAGUCUGAUAUGCUAGAGAAAACAAGUUACUUGACAUCUUUAUGAAUUUUACAUUAAGAAAAGUACAGAAACAAAGGUUACUACAUGAUAUACUAAAUUAUUUAAAGAAAGAGGACUAUUAUGCAAUUUAUUUCAUAAUUAUUGAUUUAUUAAAAAGAUAUGAUAAACAAAAUAAACCAUAAUUCCGGUAAAUAUUUACUGAAGUUCCUGGUCGGGAAUAACUCUGUUAUAAGGAAUAUUCAACUACUACUAUAGUUCGUGUUUUUAUGAAACUUGCAUUUUUUUGGCAGAACAUGUUAAUGUGUAGACUUAAUUAGCAAGCCAAUGUUUAUAUAUCGUUCCGAACAUGCUUUCAAUGUUUUAACAUUGGCUACAAUUAUAGGGGGAGUGUUGAGAUAUCACAAAAAAUGUUUAACCCAAGGAGCCUCUUGCCUUUAUGUUUCUUGUAUGAUUUUUAAUUUUAGUUCAUUGAUAUGUUUUGGAGUAAAGUAUGACGUCCAUUAUCACUGAACUAGUACACAUUUUUGUAUAGGGGCCAGCUGAAGGUGGCCUUUGGUUGUUUUUUCUCUUUAGUCGGGUUGUUGUCACAAUUUCCAAAAAACAUUCCGAAUUUUAAUAUAUGCAACUUUACUUUGGGUAACCUACACUAAACAACACUCAACAACUAAAGCUUUUUUUGUCAAAGAUCUAAACUACAAAGUGUAAUCUUUAAGGUAAAACGAUUGCCUUCAAACAUGUCAUAUUUAGAACAAAUUAAACAGCUUAUAUUUACAUGAUUAAUUCGAAACGAAAAGCAAAAGUCGUUAGAAUUUCUACAAUUUGUAUGGAUAUGGAUUACUGUUUUUAUUUUAUUUUUUGUGUGGAAGGGGGUUAUGAACAUGUAUGUUGCCUAUGAAAAUCCGAAUUUGACGGAGAUAUUUAUCUUUCUCUUGCAAUGAAAGAAUGUAUGCAUGUCAUAUGCAUGCUUUCCUAACCUGUGAUAAGGCUGUGUGCUAGCUAUACUUAUUUUCUAAUUAAAAAACCUGUACUUUGUCACCAAUUUGUUUGUAUAAAGAAGUAAAAAUGAA